CUCUUUUUGAUUAUAAUUUAAAGUAGGGCCUGCCCACUGAAUUUUGAAGGGCCGCAGUAUUUUGACUGUGCAAAGGUAGCAUAAUCAUUAGUUUUUUAAUUGAAAGCUUGUAUGAAUGGUUUGAUGAGAAAAUUUCUGUCUCAAUUUUAAUUUUUUAAAAUUUUAUUUUUAAGUAAAAAAGCUUAAAUAUUUUUAAAAGACGAGAAGACCCUAUAGAGUUUUAUUUAAAUUAUUUUUAUUAAUUUUAGGAUUUAUUUUUUUUAAUAUUAAUUUGAAUUGGGUUGGGGUGAUUAAAAAAUUAAAUAAACUUUUUUUUUAUUUUAACAUUUGUUUAUGAAUAAUUGAUCCAUUAAAAUGAUUAAAAGAUUAAAUUACCUUAGGGAUAACAGCGUAAUUUUUUUUUAGAGUUCUUAUUGAAAAAAAAGAUUGCGACCUCGAUGUUGGAUUAAAAUUUAUUUUUGGUGUAGAAGCUAAAAAAUUAGGUCUGUUCGACCUUUAAAAUUUUACAUGAUCUGAGUUUAAACCGGUGUAAGCCAGGUUGGUUUCUAUCUUUAAAAAAAUUAAAUAUUUUAGUACGAAAGGAUCAAAUAUUUUAUUAAUAAUAUAUUUUUUGAAUAAAAUUUUUAUUUUGGCAGAAUAGUGCGAAAGAUUUAGAAUCUUUUUAUGUAAUUUUACAAAUAAAAAUUGAUUUAAUUUUAAUUUUAGUAAAUUUUUUAUUAUUAUUCAUUGGAGUUUUAGUAGGGGUGGCUUUUUUAACUUUAUUAGAACGAAAGCUUUU
rnacentral:rRNA from 1 species